AAGGUCAAGAUCACUGUGACCUUCAAUAUAAAAAAUGUUAAAGUUGUUAUAACUUUGGUAUGCUUGGACCUAGAGUCUUGAAACUUGACAUGAAGGUUGGCCAUAACUAGUAAGUAACCACUGGUCAUUUCAAGGUCAUUCAUUUGAAGGUCAAGGUCACUGUGACCUUGAAUGUAAAAAUGUUAAAGUUCUUAUUUCAUGGUAUAACUUUGGUAUGCUUGGACCUAGAGUCUUCAAACUUGACAUGAAGGUUGGCCAGGAUUAACAGAUGACCACUGGUCAUUUCAAGGUCAUUCAUUUGAAGGUGAAGGUCACUGUGACCUUCAAUAUAAAAAUGUUAAAGUUGUUAUAACUUUGGUAUGCUUGGACCUAGAGUCUUGAAACUUGACAUGAAGGUUGGCCAGAACUAGUAAGUAACCACUGGACAUUUCAAGGUCAUUCAUUUGAAGGUCAAGGUCACUGUGACCUUGAAUGUAAAAAUGUUAAAGUUGUUAUAACUUUGGUAUGCUUGGACCUAGAGUCUUGAAACUUGACAUGAAGGUUGGCCAGAACUAGUAAGUAACCACUGGACAUUUCAAGGUCAUUCAUUUGAAGGUCAAGGUCACUGUGACCUUGAAUGUAAAAAUGUUAAAGUUCUUAUUUCAUGUUAUAACUUUGGUAUGCUUGUACCUAGAGUCUUCAAACUUGAAAUAAAGAUUGGCCAGUACUAGAAGAUGACCACUGGACAUUUCAAUGUCAUUCAUUUGAAGGUCAAGGUCACUGUGACCUUAAAUGUUAAAAUGUUAAAAUUGUUAUAACUUUGGUAUGCUUGGACAUAGAGUCUUCAAACUUGACAUGAAGGUUUGCAAGCACACUUAGAUGACCACUGGUCAUUUCAAGGUCAUUCAUUCUAAGGUCAAGUGAAACCACAGACUAUCAUUCAAGCUUGGAUCAUAUUUAUGUGUCCAAUCUAUCUGCUAGAACUGGUGUGAUAGAAACCUUUUGGAGUGAUCAUAAGGCUGUCUGGAUUUCUGUGUAGGUAUGUGAAAGCAAAACAAUAAAUAGUAUUAUUUCAUCUAAGUUUAUUUUCUUACAUUUGAUAAUGAAAUUGAUGGAAACUUCAAACAAUAUGUUACUAAUUUGCUAAUAAAAAAUUGAGAUCAAACUUU